rnacentral:rRNA from 1 species
GACGAACGCUGGCGGCGUGCUUAACACAUGCAAGUCGAACGGAAAGGCCCUGCUUUUGUGGGGUGCCCGAGUGGCGAACGGGUGAGUAACACGUGAGUAACCUGCCCUUGACUUUGGGAUAACUUCAGGAAACUGGGGCUAAUACCGGAUAGGAGCUCCUGCUGCAUGGUGGGGGUUGGAAAGUUUCGGCGGUUGGGGAUGGACUCGCGCCUUAUCAGCUUGUUGGUGGGGUAGUGGCUUACCAAGGCUUUGACGGGUAGCCGGCCUGAGAGGGUGACCGGCCACAUUGGGACUGAGAUACGGCCCAGACUCCUACGGGAGGCAGCAGUGGGGAAUAUUGCACAAUGGGCGGAAGCCUGAUGCAGCAACGCCGCGUGCGGGAUGACGGCCUUCGGGUUGUAAACCGCUUUCGCCUGUGACGAAGCGUGAGUGACGGUAAUGGGUAAAGAAGCACCGGCUAACUACGUG